GACGAACGCUGGCGGCGUGCCUAAUACAUGCAAGUAGAACGCACAGUUUAUACCGUAGCUUGCUCCACCAUAGACUGUGAGUUGCGAACGGGUGAGUAACGCGUAGGUAACCUGCCUGGUAGCGGGGGAUAACUAUUGGAAACGAUAGCUAAUACCGCAUAAUAUUAAUUAUUGCAUGAUAAUUAAUUGAAAGGUGCAAUUGCACCACUACCAGAUGGACCUGCGUUGUAUUAGCUAGUAGGUGAGGUAACGGCUCACCUAGGCGACGAUACAUAGCCGACCUGAGAGGGGUAUCGGCCAAACUGGGACUGGGACACGGCCCAGACUCCUACGGGAGGCAGCAGUAGGGAAUCUUCGGCAAUGGACGAAAGGCUGACCGAGCAACGCCGCGUGAGUGAAGAAGGUUUUCGGAUCGUAAAGCUCUGUUGUAAGAGAAGAACGGGUGUGAGAGUGGAAAGUUCACACUGUGACGGUAUCUAACCAGAAAGGGACGGCUAACUACGUG
rnacentral:rRNA from 1 species